AUUGAACGCUGGCGGCAGGCCUAACACAUGCAAGUCGAACGAGUGGCGGACGGGUGAGUAGUGCUUGGGAAUCUAGCUUAUGGAGGGGGAUAACUACGGGAAACUGUAGCUAAUACCGCGUACCAUAGGGUGAGCCCAUGUGGGAUUAGGUAGUUGGUGGGGUAAAGGCUCACCAAGCCGACGAUCUCUAGCUGGUCUGAGAGGAUGACCAGCCACACUGGGACUGAGACACGGCCCAGACUCCUACGGGAGGCAGCAGGGGGGAAUAUUGCACAAUGGGGGCAACCCUGACGCAGCCAUGCCGCGUGAAUGAAGAAGGCCUUAGGGUUGUAAAGUACUUUCAGCGGGGAGGCGUUACCCGCAGAAGAAGCACCGGCUAACUCCGUGCCAGCCGCCGCGGUAAUAC
rnacentral:rRNA from 1 species